GAGACCUCGCGGAGUAGCAGGCGAAGAUCAUCAAGAUCAGCAGCACUGGUGUUGUACGUCUUCGACUUCAUCAGAACCAAUUGCAAAUAAGCGGAACCGUGUCGAUGAGGAGCAAACUCAUCACUUCAUUUGCCCUCUGGAAAACCCUGCUAAAGCUGACAUCUACAGGAAACUAAUCACUCGGACAUCAAGCCUUUGUGGCACUGCCAACACAGUUCGCCCUCAACAAUUCUUGGCGCUGUCCUAUCUCUAGAGGGUCAUGACCAUAGAGACUGAGCAUCGGUCCUAUUUUGAACCUGCUCGGCAG